rnacentral:rRNA from 1 species
UGGGGAAUUUUGCACAAUGGGGGAAACCCUGAUGCAGCGACGCCGCGUGAUUUAGAAGGCCUUCGGGUUGUAAAAAUCUUUUUUACGGGAUGAAAAUGACAGUACCGUAAGAAUAAGGUCCGGCUAAAUACGUGCCAGCAGCCGCGGUAAUACGUAUGGACCGAGCGUUGUCCGGAAUCAUUGAGCGUAAAGGGUACGUAGGCGGCCUAGUAAGUUAGAAGUGAAAUAAUAUAGCUCAACUAUAUAAAGCUUUUAAAACUGCUAGGCUUGAGAGAUGGAAGGGAAAGUGGAAUUCCUAGUGUAGCGGUGAAAUGCGCAGAUAUUAGGAAGAAUACCGGUGGCGAAGGCGACUUUCUGGUCAUCAUCUGACGCUGAGGUACGAAAGCGUGGGUAGCAAACAGG